CAGCCACUUCACACUUUACUCUCGUCGCUUCGAUUCUUCAAUAAUCAGAAAGGCUAGCUCGCGCCUCCAUCAAGCAUCACCAUCAUCGCAGAUAAGCAACUAGAUAAAUCUACCAAGCUAGUCCCCAAAGAAGCGAUGGAUAUUGUUGCCAUUGUUGUUUAUCACUACGAUAACAUUGCAACACCAUUGAUACCAUUAACGAAUGG